AACAAAAAGGUAUGAAUGCUAAGCAGAGUAAUUUAGUUAGUAAGUUAGUUCCCCAAUUAACAUCUGAAGGGGUCCGUGACAUCGUGAGACAGAAGGCCUCGGGUAACCAAGACCCAGCUUCAGAGGACAUUUGACAGACCAAGUAUCUGAGAGGGGGAAAGAAGAGAAGAAAACGAAGUCUCCAUCUAGAAUUGAAAACAACUGCUUCCAAGGUUGCUCCGUGAAAAUAAGCAGCCAGAAUGUUGAAGAAUUCUAAAAGUUGGCAUUCUCCUGAAGAUUAAAAGAUAAUAACACUUCUAUUAGAAUCACUCUGCUACGCUGUAUUGAUCUCAUCAGGGAGGCCACUGCAGGUCUAAUAUGAACAGAGCAGUUUUAGAAUUAAUCACAGGGGGUUUUAUUACGGUUCAUAGGGCUCCUCAUUCAAAUUGCAUCGUUUGCAAUAUUUAUGGCCUAGAUUGGUUGCCAUUAUUAAGUGCAAGUGUGCCACAUGGCGCCUGGCCUGCUGUGUUAAAGCACAAAGUCAUUCUUCAAAAGUAAAUCUUAUCUAAACUAUGCACAAAAAAGCCAAUUACUUUUUGAUUUACAUUUUAAUUUCACAUUCUAUUUUCCCCUUAUAUACAGAACCCUUAUUCAAUCUUUGUUUUGGGUUAACCAGCAUAGGCAUACAAGCUACACAUCCCAGUUUUAAGCAGCCCAUUAGAGCAUAUUAAUGCUCUCUGCUCUGAAAGAUAUAUAUUUGGUCAGCUCUGAGCUACAAUUUCUCUAUGGGAGAAGCAAAGGAAGAAAAGGAAGAAACACAAUAUCCUGGAAAGGCUAUCGACUGACCACUGAGCCUGAAGAUAAAAUUGCAUCAUUAAGGUUCACGUCUUUGCUUCUACACUGGAAAGUGAAAUAGGCAUUUGGCCACGACAUUGCAAUCCCUCACCGCUCACCUGCGGAAAUAAUUUAAGGAAACCAGUACAGGGCAAUGCAUUCUGAAACUUGUUUGGGAAAAAAAGAUGAAUCAGCAAAUCUCCCCAGAGGAUUGGCAGGAUAUAAUGCACAUCCUGGUGACCUGGAGACUUGAUUACUGUCAUUCCCUGCAUGCUGGUUUAUCAGUGAGGCUGAUCCGCAGCUGGUUCAGAAUGGAGCUGCAUGAUUGCUUAUGGGACUGAGCUAUCGUGAUCAUAUUCAGAGGCUUUGUGUUCUUUACAUAUCCAUCUGCUUUGGGUUGUUUUUUUUUUUUUUUUUUUUUUUUUUACACUGGGUUCUUCACUUUUACAUAUUCACCCUCUUUGUGCUCUUUACACUGGUUGCCUACGAAGUGGCAGAUUCACUUUCAAUUAGCUUUCAUCAUUUAUAAAGCUGUAAAUUGGACUGGCCCUGAGAUCUUUGAGAUCUCUUCCAAGAGUCUCCCACCUGACAGGUGUUUGUGCUCACAUGCCACCCCUGUUGUGCUGGAAGCCAGUAGGCGAUGGAGCUUUGCCCUGACAGUGUGGAACUCACUCCUCCUUUAAAUCUGGCUCAUUGUUUUAUUCUUAUCGUUUUGUCAAACCCCCUUGUUUGUAAUUGUCUCAAGCCUGGGGUUCUUUUUAUGCCAUGAGAAAUUGUUUUUGCUAUUGUUGUUCAGCACCCUGAGCUCUUGGGGGAUGUGUGGGGGAGGUGCUUUACCAAUAAAAUUACUACUAUGUGAAAAGUAACACUAACAUUUUUAUUAGAUAUGGGUGUUAAACCCGAGGGCGGCUUUAAACACUGGCAAGAUGGAAGAAAUCCAGAAUGAGCUGUCCCCAAUCAACAAUCUGACAAUACAUCAUUUAAAGAAAAAAAAAGUUUUAAACUGUUAGCUCUACUUAUUAUAUGCUUGACUAAUUCCUUGAACAGAAAAAAGCCAUGCAUGACUAUAUAGGAGAUAUAGAAAGCAGAUGAUAUACUGACUUUCCCUUGGUGGAAUCGGAUUGCUAGUUUCUAUAAAAAUGAAAACUUAUUUGACUGAUAAAGGCAAAGAUGAAAAGCCAGUUAACCUCCUACUUUAUUAGAAAAUGAAAAGAUGUAUGCAACGAGAAAGGGCCUGAACUGGACUUUGGAUGGAAUUAUAAGCUAAUGCCUCCAUUCCCUACAAAGUGAAUCAGAAAGGUGGGCGUGAUUAUACAUUUCCUUGUUUUAAGUUCAGUGCAGGUGUUGAGGUUGGCAGAAGUUGAUUGGGAAUACAUGGACUGAGAUUGAUUUUCAUCUCUCCACUGGGAGAUGUUCACACAAGGUGUACUACUUUGGGGUGUUGUACUCUGUCAUUGUCCUUAUUUCUGACUCCCUCUGCCCCAUUAACCUGUGAUCUUCAUGUAGGGACUACAUCUAAAAAGCCAGUCUUCUUUAUCUUUUAGAACAAAGUGUGGACUGAAUGCAUUCAAAAAUCUCCUCAGCAGUAUUACUGCAAAAGGAUUUAUUUUUUAAAAAUGUCAACAACAAAUAAUGCUGUUGUACUAGAACACAUCCAUUCAUGAGAUGAUCUGAAAGCCCUUUAGAUCCAAUGCUACCCCAGGGGAACUGAAGCACAGGGAGGUCAAGUGAUUUGACCUAUAUCAUAUAAGUCACCAAUAGAAUAUAGGUCUUCACUGCAGAGUUAACUCAUGCCCUUACUAUGGUAACUCAUGUCCCCCUCCCAUCUACACACAAAACCCCCUCACCUGAGUUUGGUAGUGCUUUAAACCCUGGCCCAGAUGGAGGUCUAGACAAACUCUUGAAUGCUGCUUUCACUUGGGCUGGUAACCCAUCCAGUUUGCAGUGAGGAUGCAAGCUAAAUCACUUGAGUGCAGAUAGUCUUCCAAUGCCUUCCAACAAAACCCCCUUGUGAUCACAAGAGCAAACAAGUUCUCUUACAAUUCACUGGGAAAGAAAGAGAGCAACUCAGCUUACCGAAGCACAAAGAACCAUAGGAUAUACCCCCAGAAGUCCUAGAAACAGACAGGUGAGUGCAGCACCAGUGAGGACACAGUUACUUGGGUAGGGCUAUUCAGUGUGGCUGAUCUCACUGGAGCUAAACUAACUCAGGUGCCAAUAACCCAACUUUACUGCUCUGUGAAGAAACGAGGGUGGGAAAUAGGAUCCCAGAGUCAAAUGGUGUAAACUUAUGUAGCUUCCAAUGACUUCUAUGGAGCUACACUAUGGAUACCAACUGAGAAUUUAGGCCCCAGCCAUCCAGCUGUAAUCAUAGACAGCACUUUUUUGUUAGCCCCUUGAUUCAUGUUCGAUCUACUGUCAACUGAGACACUAAUCCUUGAAAUGGACCAUACUUUUUCUACAGAGUUUGAUAAGUUAAUUAUUUGAGGUAGACAAGUCGUUAUUCUAAAUCCAUUCUUUUGUGAUAACAGUACAAUUACCAAGUUAUUUACACUUACUCUUAUUUAUCUGGUAUCAUGCAAAAAAGUCACACUCUACAUAUGUAUUGCCCGUCUGCAUAUGUCAAAUUAUCAACUGCCAAUUUACAUUGGUAGUACUCCUUUCAUCAAUGGUAAUGAAUCAUUACUGCUAGCAUAUGGGCACACAUCAUGUGUGUGAUUAUACUUUUGCCCUCUGAUAAAUA